AGAGUUUGAUCAUGGCUCAGGAUGAACGCUGGCGGCGUGCCUAACACAUGCAAGUCGAACGGAGUUUAGAUGAAACCUAGUGAUUCUAAACUUAGUGGCGGACGGGUGAGUAACGCGUGGGUAACCUGCCCUAUAGAGUGGGAUAGCAGUUAGAAAUGACUGAUAAUACCACAUAAGACCACAGUACGGCAUCGUACAGGGGUCAAAGAUUUAUCGCUAUAGGAUGGACCCGCGUCUGAUUAGCUAGUUGGUGAGGUAACGGCCCACCAAGGCGACGAUCAGUAGCCGGCUUGAGAGAGUGACCGGCCACAUUGGGACUGAGACACGGCCCAAACUCCUACGGGAGGCAGCAGUGGGGGAUAUUGCACAAUGGAGGAAACUCUGAUGCAGCGACGCCGCGUGAGUGAAGAAGUAUUUCGGUAUGUAAAGCUCUAUCAGCUGGGAAUAAAAAAAUGAAGGUACCAGAGUAAGAAGCACCGGCUAAAUACGUGCCAGCAGCCGCGGUAAUACGUAUGGUGCAAGCGUUAUCCGGAUUUACUGGGUGUAAAGGGAGCGCAGGUGGCGCGGCAAGUCAGAAGUGAAAGCCCGGGGCUUAACCCCGGUAUUGCUUUUGAAACUACUGUGCUAGAGUGCAGGAGGGGUAAGCGGAAUUCCUAGUGUAGCGGUGAAAUGCGUAGAUAUUAGGAAGAACACCGGUGGCGAAGGCGGCUUACUGGACUGUAACUGACACUGAGGCUCGAAAGCGUGGGUAGCAAACAGGAUUAGAUACCCUGGUAGUCCACGCUGUAAACGAUGAAUACUAGCUGUUGGGUUCCUUAAGGAGCUCGGUAGCGACGCUAACGCAUUAAGUAUUCCACCUGGGGAGUACGUUCGCAAGAAUGAAACUCAAAGGAAUUGACGGGGACCCGCACAAGCGGUGGAGCAUGUGGUUUAAUUCGAAGCAACGCGAAGAACCUUACCAGGCCUUGAGAUCCUGUUGACAAUCUGGGUAAUGCCGGACUUCCUUCGGGACAACAGAGACAGGUGGUGCAUGGUUGUCGUCAGCUCGUGUCGUGAGAUGUUGGGUCAAGUCCCGCAACGAGCGCAACCCUUGUCUUAAGUAGCCAGCGGUUCGGCCGGGCACUCUUGAGAGACCGCCAGGGAUAACCUGGAGGAAGAUGGGGAUGACGUCAAAUCAUCAUGCCCCUUAUGGUCUGGGCUACACACGUGCUACAAUGACAGUGACAAAGAGAAGCGACAGGGUGACCUCGAGCAAACCUCAAAAAAGCUGUCCCAGUUCGGACUGUAGUCUGCAACCCGACUACACGAAGCUGGAAUCGCUAGUAAUCGCGAAUCAGAAUGUCGCGGUGAAUACGUUCCCGGGUCUUGUACACACCGCCCGUCACACCAUGGGAGAUGGAUAUGCCCGAAGUCCGUGACCUAACCGUAAGGAAGGAGCUGCCGAAGGUGGAGCCAUUAACUGGGGUGAAGUCGUAACAAGGUAACC
rnacentral:rRNA from 1 species